rnacentral:rRNA from 1 species
GACGAACGCUGGCGGCGUGCCUAACACAUGCAAGUCGAACGAAGCACUGCGGAAAGAGACUUCGGUCAAUGGAAGCUUUGACUUAGUGGCGGACGGGUGAGUAACGCGUGAGGAACCUGCCUUUCAGUGGGGGACAACAGUUGGAAACGACUGCUAAUACCGCAUAAUGUGUUUUGGGGGCAUCCCCGGAACACCAAAGAUUUAUUGCUGAAAGAUGGACCCGCGGCGCAUUAGCUAGUUGGUGGGGUAACGACCUACCAAGGCGACGAUGCGUAGCCGACCUGAGAGGGUGAUCGGCCACAUUGGGACUGAGACACGGCCCAGACUCCUACGGGAGGCAGCAGUGGGGAAUAUUGCACAAUGGGGGAAACCCUGAUGCAGCAACGCCGCGUGAGUGAUGACGGCCUUCGGGUUGUAAAGCUCUGUUUCCAGGGACGAUAAUGACGGUACCUGGGGAGGAAGCCACGGCUAACUACGUG